rnacentral:rRNA from 1 species
GUGAGGAAUAUUGGUCAAUGGACGAGAGUCUGAACCAGCCAAGUCGCGUGAAGGAAGACGGUUCUAUGAAUUGUAAACUUCUUUUGUGCAGGAAUAAAGUGGGUUACGUGUAACCUUUUGUAUGUACUGUACGAAUAAGGAUCGGCUAACUCCGUGCCAGCAGCCGCGGUAAUACGGAGGAUCCGAGCGUUAUCCGGAUUUAUUGGGUUUAAAGGGUGCGUAGGUGGAUUGAUAAGUCAGCGGUGAAAGUGUGCAGCUUAACUGUAAAAUUGCCGUUGGAACUGUCGGUCUUGAGUGCUAAUGAGGUAGGCGGAAUGUGUUGUGUAGCGGUGAAAUGCUUAGAUAUAACACAGAACUCCGAUUGCGAAGGCAGCUUACUGGGAUGCAACUGACACUGAUGCACGAAAGCGUAGGUAUCAAACAGGAUUAGGUGGCCCUGUAGUCC